CACUUCUUUAGGGAAUGUACAGUGCCGUUUGUUCCCUCACCAGAGGAAGGCUCUCUCAAACUGCACAGACUGAUGCAUGGUUGUUGCAGUGCUGCACUUGGUGGUUACUCUGUCCACUGACUUCCGUGCUGCCUGCUUUAGGUGGCUGACGGAGGCACUCAGUUACUUGAACAGGGGUAGUUUAGAAGGAGCUAAUUGUAUUCAAAAAUUGUAAUGUCUGUAGACUUAAUUGAUACUGUGAGGGAACAAGCUGUUUAGUUCAUCAGUGAUGACCACAUCAUACAUUCUACAUGAGUAAAGUUUACAAGGGGAAGCUGUUCAUAGUUAUUUUUUUUUGUCAAGUUUUGUACAAAUUAGAACCCUCUUUCAGGAAGGCAUCAUUAUGCCACAUUUGGAUUCUGUUCAGUAACAGAAGUGUAAACAAUUAAAGUCCUUUAAAUUUGAACACAACCUUAAACAUGCAAGCAAAGCUCUGACAAACAGUUGUUCAUGAUGGCCUCUAAUACUUGCUCACCAUCAUAACAGCAUCUCAUAAAUUGGAUUUAUCAUGUUCCCUUAACCUCUGUGCACUCUCAGUUUAUUCGUCAAGCUCACUCCCCCCACUAUUCUGAUGCCUUGAAUAGCUAUACCAAUGGAAGUGUUUUUGUCUUCUAAUCCAAACUGAAUUUUCCUUUCCUCACCACUGCGUGUGGCUGUUUGUUACAUGACCCUUUUUCCUCAACCUUUAUUAAAUCGUGAACGAGAAUCAGACUGAAGCUCUUACAUAGUCCUGCAGAUCUAAUAGGAAGAGCGUUAAUGCUUUAUAAUGCUCCUCUCCUUGUCUUCCAGACAGGAACAAAACACUUGUCUUCUCAUGAGAAGAAACGUAACAUUAGGGCUGAGACUGACAAUUUCAGCUCAUUUUAAAUAGCUGUUAAAGAGAUACAAUUUCACUUUAUAUCUGAGUUUGCAUGGGUGAAGUCACAAGGCCAGCUCCCUUUGAACAAAAUGCCGUGAAAUCAUUCUUGAAGAAUGCAUAAAUUCAAGCCAGUAAUAUCUUUGUGCCGUGCAAGUAGUUUCUUACUUGGAGGAAGUAAAAUUAGGUUGCAACCUGCAGUAACCUAUAGCCAACGGAGCCCUGCUGUCAUGCAGACACAAUCACAGGGUAACGUGGAGGAGUACUGAGCACUGUGUGCACGUGCAGCACCAGAAGGUUGAGGAGAGCCUCUGCAGCAGAACGGUCUGACAGCACAGCGUGGUCCUGGCGGCAUGCGGUGGGCAGCUACAGCAGGCAGCAUAUGGGAAAAGACAGAAAUGGGCCAUCUGGACACAGGAAAUCACACAAGCUGGGGAUGCAAUGAUAGCGUAAUUAUAAUCACUGUUUUCUCUCUCUUUUACAGCCAAACCGGGCAUUCUAGAGAACUUAGAUGAAGUCUAAAAUUAAUUGUGAAACACUCAGGGUGUAAUAUGGCCACAAAACGGUGAACAGUGGUUUUUGCGUUUUGUUUUUUAAAUAGAGUGCAAGAGAUGAAAUUUUGUGCCAGAUGCAUUUCACAUUUACUUUGUCUAACAGUCAACCCAGAUCAGACAUCCUUCUCUAAAUAUAUUAAUUUACAUGUUUCAUUGUAGUUCAUUACAACAAGUCUUCAAAUUCAUAGUCAAAAGAAAGGUAAGCGCCAGCGGUUGAGUUGCAUAAAGAAGGCAUGUUGCAGCAUGCCAUGGCUUGCUUUUCUGGCUUUUGCUUUUUCCUGACUGUCAAAAUUUUGGUCUACUGCCUGAGUCCUGGUCUUUCUUAGAACUGGACAAAUUUAUCCCUUUCUGUGGAGCUUCCAAAUGAGGGCAGAAAAGUCACCCAGUGCCAAGAUGUGACCGAAUAUAUUCUAGUAGGUAAUUGGUUCAACUCUGUCAACCAAGAUAAAGGGAUCUGCUGACACUUUAGUUCUUAGCUAACCCCGUAGACCUCAUGAAGAUAAUUUGAACAGAUAAGUGAACUGUGGUGGGUUGUUUUGGAGGGGGAAGAGGAGGGGUGUCUGCUUAAAUGGACAGACUUGCACUUAGAGCACAAGCUAACUGUUAAAGGAGUCAGCAGUGACUUUUUUUUUUCCUUACUUUAGCAUCUGUCUUCUCAAGGACAUCAUUUUAACUUUAGAGGGAAAAUUCCUGCAUGUGGCUUGCAGAUGAAGAAUCCAAGCUGCAAGCAGCACAGGAUCAGAUAAGCCAGUCCUAUCCACUGUUGUGAACUUAGCAGUCCAAGCAAAUUUCAUUUACUUGGCGAGAGCUGUCGGUACAGACAACAAACUUCCAAGGACUCCUGAAAGCAAAAGAGGAUGAGAAUGACUCUGGUAGCUCUUGGUGAUAGAUUCUCCUGAUUCUACUCAUCCUGGGAAGUGUUUUGCUGCCCUUCUCAGCACUGAUGUGAACAUCAAUGCAUUGCACAGCAAUUUUCACAAGGCAGAGCUCUGUUUGCUCAGGGACCCACAAGUUUCUACAAUGCACAUAGAGAAGGAGUCCUGACACUGGCUAGGUACCUUUACAUAAGUCAAGCCCCAGGAAAUGGCUUCUUACCAAUCUGAAACAUUUAUUUUAAGUACAGCUGAUACUCAGAAUUCAGCAACUACAUUGAUUCUGGAGAUUCUUUAUCAGCUCUGCUGCAUGGAAAGAGGCAGUCUUUGGAGCCCGAAAUGGAGAGCAGAGGAUCGAAGAGAGCUACUACUUCAGGAUGGGGCACGCUAAGAACACAACAACACAGAAGAGGAGAUGCUUGCGGAAGCACGCUUAUUAGACAAAACUUGAGACUGACAGCAGCUCUGGGUGCAGGUAAGUACAGAAAUCAUUCAUGAGCAGUGAGGUUUCAGUGAAUUUCAAUAGCUUUUAAUAGCAUUAAGAUAGGAUCAUUUUUCAUUUAUGUGCCUAGGCUGUAACAUCCUAGCAUUUUCUGUUGAAAAGCCUCAAUAUGUUGCAUCUACCCUAUGCCUUAUUAAGCACCUUGUAAAAUUUUGCUGGUUUUUCUCCUAUUUUCAUUCAUUUCCACUUUAGAGGAAGAUAUCUAAGCAGGACAUCAGAUAUUAUUCUAGCUGAUUGCUGAAAAAAUGAAUAAUGUCAAAACAUUGUCUCUAUAGCUAUGUAUUUUUAAUUAUCCGUUUCCACUUUUCAGUGUUUAACACGAGACCAGCCAAAGAAAUCACUAAUAAUUAGAGCCUCCUCUGGAUGCUCGCUGUGGCAUGGGGAGCACAGCUGACAUUUCACUGAGCUUCUGAGCCCUGCUGCGCUGCCUUUGAUCUGCGCUCCACUCAGCACACCGCUAGAUACUCUGCACAUGCUGCAGAGAGGAACCGCUCUCACUGCGCCUCGCCUGUCUGCAUGGGCAUCACUUGACGGGAGGCGCGAGCAGUUUUGGUAUGUGAAAGGGUGAUGUCAUUGCCUGUGGAAAAACUAUAAAGAAAGUGAAGCCUGAAUGAGAUUAUUAGCUGGAGGGGAGGCAAAAGAUGGUCUCUGGACAUCCGGUUUGAACUGGGGCUUGGGAGAUCUGUGUUCACUCUCCAACUUGGCCGCAAACUUCCUGUUUGACUUAAGGGGAAAAAUGUAAGCUGCAGGCUUGCUCAGUCCUGCAGAAAAGAAGAGGGCUUUACGCAGUUGUCCAUCUUUAGGGACCUAGUUACAGGGGAAGGAGUUAAGAUCGGUUAAUAUCAAGAGGCUUAACAGGCAUGUGUGACAUCUUUAUGUUAUAGACAUUUAACCCCCUGUCUGGACAUAUAUAUGGACACAAGUCCAUAUCUGUUUGUGCCUCAAAUCUCAGUGUUGCUGGGUAUCUGGAAAAUCUUCUAGCAUUUUGGGAAGAAGGGCAGGGUCAUUUGUUGUUGCAUAUUUAACUUUGGUUUGUGAAUGUUUAAAGUACAGAUUGCUUCUGCCUAUGUGUUUCAUACUGAACACAGCCACUGAAAAUCUGGUAUUGGGCAGGGAAUAUAGGAGCUGCUGUAAUAAAAACCGCACAAAAAGCCCAAGCACAGCUACUACAACAGAACCUAGGUCACCAAUACUGAAAUAUAAUUGUUGCUUUCAGCAGUAGGUAUCCUCUCUCACUAAGAUUUUUCAGCAACUAAGUACAUUACAGACAAGGUGCAGCUUGGAGGCCACGUGAGGAGGUCUACAACAUUAGUGCUAGCUCAGGUCUGUUACAAGGAACUCCCAAAAUACAAUUCAAAAGAGAAUCGGCAAGAGGACUUGCUCCUAUGCAUGUUUUGGUGAGAACGGUGGAAAAGUUUGUGGCAGAGGUGCAGAUCAUGUUUGGUGGGGCUUGUUCUGUUAAGUGCAAUGUUACUAAAACAUAGCUGCAUUGGUCCAGCUACCAGUAGAAGUAAGGGUCGCCUUCAGCAUCCAAAAGCUGGUCAGCCCUGCUCCAUCUGAAUGCAGGUGAAAAGAAGCUGCUGGUGUUCCUCCUCUCUAACCCUGCAUAAAUUGCUUAAUGCCCCUGCAACUUUAAUUCAGCUGCAAAAUGAGAUAAUGCUUGCUGGUCUGUCUAGAACACAUUAAGAUUUGCAAAGGAAAAUAACGUUUAUAGAUGAAUUAUAUUUAUGUAUUUUAUUUUACCAAGUACAUACCUGUAAGGAUAAAAGAUGAAAGAUUCCGAGGUAGCAGACACACAAUCCUUCCAUCUCUAAAACAAGCCUAAGUAGCGCAGUAAUUUGCUCAGCUUUCUUUCAUGUUUAUGAGCUUUUCUAUCAACAGGAUGUCUCGUGUUGUUAAAACCAUUUUCUUGGAAUUGGCAUUGCCAUUAUCCAUACCGAGCGCCUAGAAUAAUCUCUGCAGCAGGCAAAACUACUGUUGUCAACUAAAAACUAGGCUGUCGCCAAAGAGCUGGGUUCUGGCAUCAGCAAAUGCAUGGCUCUAUCUGGGAGGAAGCUAGACCUCUCCCUUUGUGUUUGAAUCAUUUCACAAUGGGGGUUGAUUAGCUGCUGUUCCUGCUGUUUGUAAGGAUAUCUUAUUCUUCUGCUUCCCCAAAAGCAAGCAAAAUCAUGACACCCCAGAAGGACUGCAGGAACUGUGACUCAUUUCAUGUGGUCUCCGUCAGUAUGCAGCACUGUCAAUACCCAAGUAUUAAAAAAACUAGUCUCAAAGAAUAAGUAAACUGGCUUAAAACACAUAAUCCAUAAGACCAUAUGUAUAUAUAAGGUUACUUUCCUGCUCUAUGAACAUCGAGCGACUUGCAGUUGCAUUGCAGCCAAGUUUGGUUUUCAUUUGUUAUUUUUACAUCCAGGGGCUUAAUUGCCGUUAGAAGAAAGCUGAGACUGUCGUGCUUUCACUUGACUCUCCGAACUGGCACUGCAAGUGGCUUCUGCUGGAGCUUGUGGAAAAUGCCUACUCCUCUGCAGUGUGCACCAUGCUUGAGAGAAAAAUGGGUAGAGAAAAUAAAUCACUCAUAAACGAAUCAGGAGGGUAAUUUUGUGAUAGCAUAAUUAUCAUAUUAUAAAAUUAUACUAAAUUAUUUUACAAUCAAUGGGGGAUGAAAGGAGAAUCCAGACCGAAAGAAGUUAGCCUGGUAUUACUUUUUAAUCUAGCUAAUGUCUAAGCAUUUUACAAUGUAACUAUUAUGUUUUGAAAGCAGGUGCUAUUGUAAUUGCCUAAGGAGCUGCAGUGUCUUACUGUAGCAUGUAUUACUGUUGCAUUUUUAAAUGUCCCUGCGGCUCAGAAUGCUGUCUAUUGUCAUGGGUUAUACAGCACAAAUUGCCGAAAAGAAUGAAAACAGGAAUGUAAAGAAAAAUGGCAAGAUUUCUAAGAAUUGCAUCAAAUUCCAAAAUGUUACUUUGUGCAAGAAAGACCAGAGCCUAUGUGCAAUUGUACAUAGAAAAAUAAUGAUUCUUUGAUCUCUCAGCCACAGGUUUAACAUUUUAAUUUCUUCUUCUGACAGCUGUUUCUGGGGAGCGUCUUGGGGAAGUGCUAUGCAUAAGUUAUAGUUGAGGAUAUGAAACAAAGUUGAAGAAAAUCCCAACCCAAGAAGGAAUAGGUGUCUUCAGUGUUGAUUUCCUAGAUAUCCCCAGAUAAAUUACAGUUUGUCUCUUUUUACAUUGUCAGAUUUUUACAAGCCAGGACUGUUUUUUUUUUUUUUUUUUUUUUUUUCCCAAUGGUUAACAUUGGUCCACAACGGUGGCUUUCACAGUCACUAGAAUAUUUGCAAAAAUAAUGCAGGAUAAAACUAUCCAAAUGCUACGUUACUGAUUCUUAUUGCCUUUAAAUAAAGCUGAGGAAUUAACUGAAGCUGUAUGACAUGUCACUGUUGUAGGUAGCAUCAGUGAAGUAGUGCUAAUGAUGCACAUUAAAUAUAACAUUGCAACAAGUUUUAAACUUUGAUCCAAUCUUUCCAUCUGCAUUAGUAAGUUGAUCCAAUACGUAACAGCUCACGAGGAUCCAGACUGACCCCUGGUCGCGUAAAGAAUUGCACAGGUUUGGAACUUUAUUGGUUUCCAGAGAGUUGCUAAUUCAAAUUUUUACUCAUAUCAGAACAAGUAUCUUUAGGAUACACUAAUAACUUCAAAAAAGACCAGAUAGGUUACUGAUUUGUGGCAGGUUCUGCCUGAUUUGUUGCAACAAAACAGACUACAAAAUCCCCAGACUGUCCCCUGGGAGGAAGCUGCAGUGAUGAAAAACAGAUACCUCCUCCCCUCCACUGAAGGACCAACAGAGGACAGAGCCGACAUAAGCCGCACACUACUACACGGUCAACACCACUACCAAAAAAUACAACCAGAUCUCUUAGCAUGGGAAUUCCAGGGAAAAGAAGCACCGUGUGUCCAUGCGUUCUCAGCAGGGAACCGAUUGCAUGCUAUUCCCUUUCGAACUGCAUUGAUCUCUGAUGUCAGGGAAGACUGUAUCCUUGACCAGACAGCUAAGGCUGUCUUUGUCCCCUGAGUACUUUACUCCCUGGUGUAAUAGCUGUCACUGAAAGAUAUUUCCUUCAUUUUGGAAGGCAAAGGUGAGCAUGCCACAAGACUGAUUCCUGUGACGCAACGUGCAUUUGUUGGCAGUGCCUAAUUAUAGCACAGAAAAACUACCGGCUUCCCCUCCCGAGGACAGAGUACGCGAUCUCUGCAGUACGCCUGCACUCUGCUCUUAACUUCUUCCUGUGUCACGCUGCCCACUGACACCGCAGUAAAAUGGCACUUGAUCAUUCCUCAGGCUACUGUGAAACAGCAGCGCUCUGGAGAUUUCUCAGCCUGCGUCCCUCCUCAAGGCUAAGCUGUGCCAGAUCUCGGUAGCUGGCUGUUUCCUCAAAGAUUUCUAAGUCACUAUCUCACUUGCCCUUCGAGAUACCAUCAGAAUCUAGUAUCAAUUCUGCACAUCACCCCAGUACAGGGAGAUACAACAUCUGCAAAGUAAAAGCAUUUUGUAAAAAUCAGUUUAUUUGUCCCCUCUAAUCAGCAGUGAAAGCAACCAACACAAAAAGUAGGCUAUAAUCACAUCACAUCAAAGUUUAAAAGGUUUACUUACCUUACAGGAAAGGUGAGCCUAAUGACUGUGAAAGAUAAAAAUUAAAUGGAAAAUGAAAAAGAAUACACAGUAAUUAAGAGGCAUUUGUCUUGAUCAACAUGCUAGGAGAGUGCUCCUGGAAAACAGAAAAAGAUUUAGUGCCCUUCUUUUUAGAGAAGAAAGUCUUUUAUUGAAA